rnacentral:rRNA from 1 species
GAUGAACGCUGGCGGCGUGCCUAAUACAUGCAAGUCGAGCGAACAGACGAGGAGCUUGCUCCUCUGACGUUAGCGGCGGACGGGUGAGUAACACGUGGAUAACCUACCUAUAAGACUGGGAUAACUUCGGGAAACCGGAGCUAAUACCGGAUAACAUAUUGAACCGCAUGGUUCAACAGUGAAAGACGGUCUUGCUGUCACUUAUAGAUGGAUCCGCGCCGCAUUAGCUAGUUGGUAAGGUAACGGCUUACCAAGGCAACGAUGCGUAGCCGACCUGAGAGGGUGAUCGGCCACACUGGAACUGAGACACGGUACAGACUCCUACGGGAGGCAGCAGUAGGGAAUCUUCCGCAAUGGGCGAAAGCCUGACGGAGCAACGCCGCGUGAGUGAAGAAGGUCUUCGGAUCGUAAAACUCUGUUAUUAGGGAAGAACAAAUGUGUAAGUAACUAUGCACGUCUUGACGGUACCUAAUCAGAAAGCCACGGCUAACUACGUG